UACGUAGGAUGCAAGCGUUGUCCGGAUUUACUGGGCGUAAAGCGCGCGCAGGCGGCACUCUAAGUACGCUGUGAAAUAUCCCGGCUCAACCGGGAGGGUGCAGUGUAGACUAGGGAGCUAGAGGUCGGUAGAGGGGGGUGGAAUUGCUGGUGUAGCGGUGAAAUGCGUAGAUAUCAGGAGGAACACCUGUGGCGAAAGCGGCGCACUGGACCACAACUGACGCUGAGGCGCGAAAGCUAGGGGAGCAAACAGG
rnacentral:rRNA from 1 species